UAAGCUAUCUUAUACAAAUAAUGUAAUAUUAUUGUAUUUAUAUAUUGAUUUAAAAUGUAAAGUAAAAUUCAGAAGACUUAAACAAAGUCCUAAAAACAAUCAAACAACUAAAUUAGUGCAAGUAGAGCUGAUUUAUUUAUCAAAACACAAUAUAAUCAUCUUCAUUAAAGUAUUUUGUAUAUUCGAAUUAAUUUAUAAAUGUAAGUGUUUAAAAAUUAGAGAUAGGUUUUGCCGGUUGUUGAUGAGUGAUGAAUACCAGCUGUGAAUUUUCUCAACGCGUGUAAGCAGCCAUGACACAGGAAACCGAAAUAGUGUUCCAAUAUAAAGUGAGGGUCCUUGACAGUGGCCGAACCCGCAUACUACACGAUAUAAUGAUUCCCCACCUCGGGAGCUAUAGGGAACGAAUUGAGACACAGCCCUGGAUGUAAUCACGUCUGUGCUGAUCACGUGCCUGUACACAAACCCGCCGCAGCUCACUUGCAAAAGAUUAUCCGGUUAUUUAUUACACGUAUAGUAAACGUUUUUAAUGUUAUCAUGAAUCAAUGUUAUAGUUUUGUAUGUCACAUUAUUUUUUGAGAAGAGUCAUGACUCAACGCGGACCUUACACGCUGUUAAUUUGUGUGUGCAUAUGGCGGUACAGGCUCUUUUGCACUCUAUGACCAGCCAUCAUUAAAUCGAAAUACAGUAAAAAAAAAUGAGCGCGAAACCCUGACACUUUACAGAAAGGCACGGAUAUCCCCGCCCGAAGAAAAAAAGAGCACAGGACAAUGGUUGCAAGUUAAACAGCUGGUAAGUAAAAUGAGUAAUCCUGUGAUUUCUUAACAUAUUUAAUUUUUUAUUUGGUUAAAUAAUUUGAAACAACACGCAGUUAACGGUAAUUUACCUCACACGUUAGGACUGUUGUGACUAGAUAGGGAAAGCGCUUUGUGGUGAAAACUCUUUUUAAGACUCAACAACACUUUCGGUGCACGUUAUCAUAUAUAUUUAUUUUCCUUUUUAGAACAUUUCACCAUCUGCAAAGAACAUUUCACAAUCGACAUAUCAACAUAAACGGUCCUCUUUUUCGAGUUUGACUGCGUUUGGUACAGGUCACAACAACAACGGCAGAUGUAGAGACCACACUUUCCCUUGCUUCCACUCCACGGCUGAUCAUGCUUGGUCACAACAACAACGGCAGAUGUAGAGACCACGCUUUCCCUUGCUUCCAUUCCACGGCUGAUCAUGCUUGAGGAUCCAGAUCUACAAAACAAAAAAUGGAUGCUGCCGAUUGAAGGCUAAGUCCGCUUUCCUGCGAUUGACCUAACAUUUCUUCAGCAUUUGCUUUUCACUUUGGUUGCUACUACGUGCUCAACAUCGAGUACCAAGUGGAAGCAGCCACUACUUUGGAGUUUAUUCAGAGAUUUAUUGUGAGGAUCAGCCCCGACAACAGCAAGUGCUCCUCUAACUUCCAGGUGAGCAAAAGAAGUGGGAAGAUGGUGCAAAGGAGGAACUCUGGCCUGAACCAUCAUGUAUAUAUCCACCUUUAUUAAGGACUUUAUGAAUUAAGCAAAACUAUUAAGCAACUAAAGCAAAUACAUUCUACUCAACUCACCAGAGGUUUGUGAAGUUCUUUUUUUAUCUUAAAGGUUUCUUUUAGUUAAUUUGUCCAUGCACUGAUUUAUAAUAUUGUAAUAUGAAACUCCAGUGUAUACAUGUUACUACUGUUGCUUCUAAAAGCAAAAUAAGUCUAUGCAGGAGAGGUUUUGUUACGUUUUUUUUUUUUUAAUUAUUCUUAUAGACGGUUUCAUCGGACGCACAUGACACACGUCUGGAUCCGAACCUUACUUCCGGUUUCGCUUUUUUAAUGGUCUGACUAGUUGGUAAACUGAUUUCUUGAACAAAAGCCUCGUCGAAAAUAACAAAUGUUUUGGUUUCCGAGCUAAUCUAUGUGUUGUUUUUUUGCUUGUUAUAUAAAUAAAAUGCGUUUAAAGAACUUUGUUGUUUUUUAUUCUUAGCGGAGUUUAUCGGAAGUUCAUGCGGACCGCGACAGCCGUUUGUUUAUGUUGUUACUGAUGAAACCGUCUAUAGUUAUAACUGAAUUUGUACUAGUAUUAUUUGAUAAUACUGUGAAAUGAAACAGUGAGUAAAUGUAACAUUGGCUUUGAAAAAGCUGUUGCUGCAAGAAAUUACAAUUUACUCAGAAUAAUAUUUUGAAUGUAUAAGUUUUUGACAUUGCUUAUGACUACAUUUGAAUGUAUUGUUCAUGAAUUGAUGCUGUGAUAUGUGUGUGUAAAUGUUUUGUGUGUUACAGGAUAAAAGAUUUUAUUUUACUCAGGAAAGUAUUUUGUAUUUGAACAUUGUUAUUAUGACUGAGUUAGUUCAUGACUUGAUUUAAAAUUCUGUAAUAUGAUAUCUAUGAGUAAAUGUUAUUGCAGGUUUAAGAAAAACAGUUUGUGAUGCAAGCUGAAAGUUCAGUGUGCAAAAAUAUAAAAAAUCUGAUUUCAUGUUUUUGAAAAACUAAAUUAAAUUUUAAAAACAUGUUGUCAUUGCUUAUUUUUGUGAUUUACUUAGAGCUGUUUUAACACCUCCAUUUAAAUUUUGUGCAGUUUUGUAGUAAAUAGAAAUGGGAAAAUGAAUCACAGGAAAUUUUACGGUAAAAUACACAUUGUAAUAUAUACAUUGU